AAGAAUUUGAAGAAUUUCCACUGAAGAAGACUGCCCCAUACUGUACACAUGCAUGCCAGUGCCACUUGCGUUUAUAUAAAUUGCCUGCAAAUCUGGUAAAUUUGGCAAAAGGAAGACAUUUAUAUUUAUAUUAAAUUCUAGAAGAUGGAACACAUGGAAAUUUCAUAUCCAUAACUAAAAGCUGCAAUUGGCAUCUAACAACUUGAGGACAGGAAUAUGCAGCUCCAGAUUGUUAGUUUAUGUCCUAUGCCACAAGCCACAUGAACAAUGUUGACCAGAGCGUUAGUGAAAUUGAGGCCACUGCGUAAGUCCAUAGCAGUAUCACUGAGCAUUCACUCUCUCCAGCUCCAAACAACUGGGUCAUUGUACCUAUGUUCAUUGCUGGAGGAAGUGCAAAUUGAAGCAUAAGAACAAAUUGAUACAGUGGAUCUGACUGCACCAACCCCAAGUGGACUGCAGAUUUAACAAUUACUACUCCAAAUAUUGGUAAUACAAUAUAGCGAACCACUAUGAUCCCAAUAAUGACUGAGCGCUGGACCUCUGAGCCUUUUAUACCUUUAAGAAGAUUUGCCCCCACCACCAAGGUGACAGUUGGAAUGGCAGCCUCUCUGCAAACACACAACAAAAGGGAAUACCAAGCAAAGAUGCAGAAUCCUGAACCACAUGAAGAGGUGCAUUAUCACCAAUUAGAGCCUUUCGGAACUGAGGGAUGACACCAACAACAAAUCCAACCAUCGCUCCAGAUGUUGAAGGUGCAAACAAUCUGCUGAAGUUGAUUUUUGUAAACACUUGUAAACCCUGCUUAAUCUUUUCUAGAAAUGAUCCCUCUGCCUUCUGCUCAGACAUUUUGCAAUCAAGUUCAAAGUGAUCCAUAUUGUCCUCAUUAGGUGAGUGAUCUUGUAAAGGAAGCAGGGGCCCUGUGGAACAUUUUGAAAGAUUUUCAGGUGUUUCUCUAAGAGACUUUGCAACCUUAGCGAAGGCAUCCAGUUUGGGCACUUCACAGUCCUUGCUUGAGUAUAUACGCAUGAUGUUAUACACAUAAGACCACAUGUAGAGAGCUCCAAUUGCCAUAGAGAGUGAAGCAUAUGCCAAUCCAUGUGUAUAACAGACAUCAACAUCACCAAAUGGACCGCCUCUUUCUUUACACACAGCUGGAAUGAUUAUCAGAGGCAUGUUCCCCAGAUUUCCUGCAGAACAGCAUCCUAACACAAGCCCCCUCAGAUCGUGAGGAGCUCUGGUACUUCUAAUAAGUAACCAUCCAAGCACAGAGCCAAUGAUAAAUGUGAAAAGAAUAUUGAAUGGCAUGAACCACAAUAUGCCCAUGCUAUUAAGCGAAAUAUAUUUUGCCAGAUUGCUACCAACAAGUGCCGGAUUGAAGACAAAAAACACAACAUUAUUCAAAUGCUUUCUUGCAUCGAGUCCUAGAAUAUCUAGACGAUCAAUUGCUAGAAAUGAGCCGACAGCAGUAAUCAACAGUACUUUCAAAACAGGCAUUAAUGCAGCAAUGAAGAGAUCCAAAACCCCCAUAGAAAAACCUUUUCCUAGGUCUCAAAAUCUCUCUCUUCCUCCCCUAAAAAGCCAAAAAGGUACAAUAGAAAGAUUAGAAUGCAACGUCACUUGCAGGUACAGCUAGGCCAUCAUCAGUAGAAGAUGAAAAGGGUUAAGAGUAUAAAAGCUAACAAGAAGAAAGAAAAAUGCACAAACAAAGAGGGACCGAGAGUGAAAUAGCUGGUACAAUUGAGGUAGAGGCCCCAAAUCAAACGAGAGAAAGCAGCUUAAUCAAGUGUUAAUUAACUUUAUAUUUUCUUGUGCCUCAAAAAUCUGAGCUUUGCAG
rnacentral:misc_RNA from 1 species